rnacentral:rRNA from 1 species
GGAGGGGGAUAACUACUGGAAACGGUGGCUAAUACCGCAUAACGUCGCAAGACCAAAGAGGGGGACCUUCGGGCCUCUUGCCAUCAGAUGUGCCCAGAUGGGAUUAGCUUGUUGGUGAGGUAACGGCUCACCAAGGCGACGAUCCCUAGCUGGUCUGAGAGGAUGACCAGCCACACUGGAACUGAGACACGGUCCAGACUCCUACGGGAGGCAGCAGUGGGGAAUAUUGCACAAUGGGCGCAAGCCUGAUGCAGCCAUGCCGCGUGUAUGAAGAAGGCCUUCGGGUUGUAAAGUACUUUCAGCGGGGAGGAAGGUGUUGUGGUUAAUAACCGCAGCAAUUGACGUUACCCGCAGAAGAAGCACCGGCUAACUCCGUGCCAGCAGCCGCGGUAAUACGGAGGGUGCAAGCGUUAAUCGGAAUUACUGGGCGUAAAGCGCACGCAGGCGGUCUGUCAAGUCGGAUGUGAAAUCCCCGGGCUCAACCUGGGAACUGCAUUCGAAACUGGCAGGCUUGAGUCUUGUAGAGGGGGGUAGAAUUCCAGGUGUAGCGGUGAAAUGCGUAGAGAUCUGGAGGAAUACCGGUGGCGAAGGCGGCCCCCUGGACAAAGACUGACGCUCAGGUGCGAAAGCGUGGGGAGCAAACAGGAUUAGAUACCCUGGUAGUCCACGCCGUAAACGAUGUCUACUUGGAGGUUGUGCCCUUGAGGCGUGGCUUCCGGAGCUAACGCGUUAAGUAGACCGCCUGGGGAGUACGGCCGCAAGGUUAAAACUCAAAUGAAUUGACGGGGGCCCGCACAAGCGGUGGAGCAUGUGGUUUAAUUCGAUGCAACGCGAAGAACCUUACCUGGUCUUGACAUCCACGGAAGUUUUCAGAGAUGAGAAUGUGCCUUCGGGAACCGUGAGACAGGUGCUGCAUGGCUGUCGUCAGCUCGUGUUGUGAAAUGUUGGGUUAAGUCCCGCAACGAGCGCAACCCUUAUCCUUUGUUGCCAGCGGUUAGGCCGGGAACUCAAAGGAGACUGCCAGUGAUAAACUGGAGGAAGGUGGGGAUGACGUCAAGUCAUCAUGGCCCUUACGACCAGGGCUACACACGUGCUACAAUGGCGCAUACAAAGAGAAGCGACCUCGCGAGAGCAAGCGGACCUCAUAAAGUGCGUCGUAGUCCGGAUUGGAGUCUGCAACUCGACUCCAUGAAGUCGGAAUCGCUAGUAAUCGUGGAUCAGAAUGCCACGGUGAAUACGUUCCCGGGCCUUGUACACACCGCCCGUCACACCAUGGGAGUGGGUUGCAAAAGAAGUAGGUAGCUUAACCUUCGGGAGGGCGCUUACCACUUUGUGAUUCAUGACUGGGGUGAAGUCGUAACAAGGUAACCGUAGGGGAACCUGCGGUUGGAUCACCUCCUUAC